rnacentral:siRNA from 1 species
GAGAACGUUGCUAGACAUUGC